GUUGAAAUGACAAGUAGUGCACUCUAGUAUAUGGCAAUCUUGUAGAGAGUAAGCAAUGGAUUCCCAGCUACUUGGGACAUGGGAGGUUGUUUCAUGCACUCCUCGCCAGACUGGACUGGUGGAAAACACUGGUGUUGAUGGGACCCGCUUUUGCCUGGAUGAGAGUGGUGAUGUUACGUGGACAGUUCCGGAUGACGCUGAGGCUAUACCUCUGUUUAACUGUGAAACAUAUGAAGUUUAUAAUUCACCUCCCAUGGGCGUUGUGAUAAGAUUCGGAGCGUAUGCGGGUCACGUCAUUGAGUUUCGGGUAGACCAUCCUGAUGGUCAGGAUACAAUGGUGCUGACUUGUGAUGCUUGGUGCAUGCUGCGGUGCAAACGUGUGGUGGAAUCUGACCCUGACCCACCUGGAGAUGCUCCAUUCUCACUGUUACCAGCUCUUGAGGAUGGCUAUUUUUCUGAUGUCUCCAUCACUGCCAGUAAUGGUCGCAUCUUUGCGGCACAUUCGUGUGUGCUCAAUUUGUCUGCUCCUGGGGUGGAUUGGGGGCGUCAAUUGGCUGGUCUUCCAGAGGAUGUAUUGGGCACUGUGCUACACUACCUGUAUUCAGAGUGCCUCCCAGCGAAUCUGGCAGAGGGCACUGCACGCCAGUGUGCUGUUGCCACCCACGCUCUGCCAGGCCUGCAACCUCUCGCUCGUCUCUGCGAUCUCUACCUCAAGAACAUGGCACUCAAGCAGCAAAUAAUUGGCCUAGUUUCCGACAUGCAUGCCAGUGCCAGUCAAAUCAUCGAACAUUUCAGCGCCAAAUCCUCCACAGGCGAGCAUUCUGCAGAUAGCCUUAAUUCUAAUCCGGCCAAAUUAUGUUUUGUUGUGAAGCAAUCUGUGAGAGAAGCUGCCGUAGCUGGUGCAAAAUUGUUGUUGCUUUGUGAUCUUUUCACAAAGCGCAAGGCUGAACUCUCACGUGAGGAACGGCAUGAAAUCAUCCGCUAUGCGAAGUCGCGGUUACCGGUUUUCAUGAGCCAGCUGCAACGUUUCCUGCAAGGUGUAAAAUCAACUUUCAGCAGUAUGUCACCCAGCCAGCGACAGGAAGUCGCUACUUAUCUUGUGCCUGAGAUUGAAACUAUUUUGGAUACUGUUUCUACACUAGUAGUACAAGUGAAAUCAGCCCUGGAACAUAUUAUAACUGUUCUUUCUCCAUCAGAAAACCCAAAAAGUCAGAAGGAAAAAGUUGGCGAAGUACUCACUAAAUCUUUGAAAAAUGUUUUGUACAGAAGAGAACUUAGCAAACUGAGAAAUUUUCAUCAGAGAAUAACUUUCAGUUUAGUUCAUCUUCUACAAAAGAAGGAGAGUUUCAAUGAAAUGACUAGUGCCAACAAAGUACGAUCUGUGGCUCGCAACCUGGAGCAGUUAAUAGAGGAACUGCCUAUAUUUCUUAUGAGGCUGGAAGAAGUAACAGCUGCCCUUGAUGAUAGAUUGGAAUGGCAUGAAUUCAAAUUUUGCUUUAAAGUUGGAACUUCCAAAGUGUCAGGGAUCCUGCAGCAGUUACUGACACAUCGUGAGACUUUGCAAGAAGUUAUGGUUCAGCUAUGUGACUUAGUGCAAAGGGAAGCAUUCACGAGAUCACUCUUCGCCCUUGAGCUCCUUGAUCCAGCUCAUUAUUCAGCAGAUCAUCAUAGUCAUCCAAGUGGGCAUUUUCACUCUACUCCCAAACAGCAUGGGUACAAGCUAAAUCUUGUGGAGUCAUUGUGUAUACCACCACUUUCUCGAAACAGUAGACUGUCUAAGGCUGCCGUCCAGUUACUGAGAUCGGGUCAGGACACUGACAUGGUCUUUGAAGUUGUCUCCUCUCCAGAUGCUCCAGAUUGUGUGAUAGAUCACACAGCUAGUCAGACAAAGCAGACUGCAGCUGAGGAGGGUAAUGAAACUUCAAGACAUGGUGGCAAGGAGAGGAGCAGGUCUGAAGAAGCACAACAAUCACCUUCCAGUGAGCCACAGCUACAGUUAUCACAGCCACAGCCACAGCCCGAACCUCAACAGUUAGAAGAACAGCCUGAGGAAGCGGCCAGUGUGAGGGCACACAGAGUUAUAGUUGCUGCUCGAUGUGACUGGUUUCGUCGGGCUCUCUUGUCUGGGAUGAGAGAAGCAAUUGAUAGGAAAAUAGUGGUUCAUGAUACAAAUCCAUUCCUUUUCUCAACAUUCCUUCACUACCUGUACAGUGGACAGUUGCGUACCCGAGAGCUGACUGCUGAUCAGUUAGCUGACCUUAUGCUUCUCAGUGAUCGAUAUGAGGUCGACUCAUUGAAACAAGCAUGCGAACAGGGAUUAAGAAGACACAUUGAUGAAGAUUCAGUGCUUUAUUUCCUGAGUAUGAGUGACCAAAUUAAUGCAAAAACUCUUCGGAGCGCCUGUUUAAACUUCAUCUCCUUGAAUCCUGACAUUAUGGAUAGUGAAUUAUUUGAAGAGCUGCCUCAAAACCUGCAGGCUGAGAUCUAUGAUCUAGUCAUAUGGGCUAAACCCAGGAAAUCACAAACAACUGAGAAGUUACUGCUUUUCCCACAUUGUCCUAGUCCUGAGACACCAACAUCUGUAUCAUCCAGUCUGGCUGAUAUAGAAGAAAUGGCUUCCAACAUUCAUAUUAACAGUCGUGAGGUAGAAGCAUCUGAUAGCAGUUCACUGGAGGAUCUUCCACUAACACAAGACUCUGCCCGUUUAGAAAGCUGCAUUGUGCAGCUGAGGGACAUAGUUGGUGAACAGGCAUCGCGUGAAGAACUUGUUCAGUUGGCGCUUGCUGCUGAUUAUGACAUCAACCGGGCUGCAAACUUCUACUAUUCAUCCUGAAGGUGGCAUCGAGGUCGCCCCUCCGUGAGGCGCACCUAAGGCAGUAUUUAGCAGUUGCUAUUGUCACUGGUUGUUGCCGUGAAGAAUGCUUCGUGCAGAACAGAACCUGCCUGCCAUCUUGGCUGUGAACUGGAGUGGAGCAAUCGAAAUCAGACGUCACGUUCCACAACAGUGGCUCUCAAAAUGCACUUCAAAGCCUUACCAGUUGUGACAUUUCCCUUAAAGUAUCUUCUUUGAAUGGCGAUGUCGUGCUUCGAAAGAAUGGAUUUCUUGUGAUUCUGCUGUAUUGUUACUGAAACGAGAUGGAAUGGAAACAGUGUUAAAGUAUCUGCUUUCAUGAAUACAGGCAGGCUUGAAGUUUGCAUAUUUUCCUGGUUAAGUUGGAGAUGCUGGUUGCCAUGAAAUGGUUUUUUAGCAGUUCAGUGGGCUGUUGGUAUCCAGAAAAUGAGGGCUUGCUCUGGGUGCCAGUGACAGGGUUUUUGCCAUUCAUUGUGACAUACUACGGAUUUCUCAUUUUGUUAAGAGGAAUUAUUUCUUAAGAACUGCAGUUUUUGUCUGGCUAGUCUCAAGCAUUUCUGAUAUGGAAGUGCACAGUAUUUUUAAAUUUUAUCAAGGUAUAAUAUUCUAAGCACUAUUUUUGCCAUAAUUCUUUAAGACUUUUGUCUGUCAUAAUAUAAAAUUUUGUGACUUUUUAGAAACUGUGCAAGAUUGUUCAGUGCAUGGUUAUGAUAAAUGGUCAUUAAGUUUAUUUACAUUUUAUGCAAUGAAAAUAUUUUAUUUAGUGACAUCACCUCAUUUUAUUUUAUGAAAGUAUUUUUAGAGGCAGAACUGUUUUAACACAUAACCAUAUUGUAAAUAUUUUCAUUGUGUACUGAACCCAGAAACCAUCUCAGACACACUAAUCAAUGCGACAAUCUGUCCAUUACUGAAAUGUGAGAUGUAAAAUUGUAUAAGUAAAUUGUUAUGUUGUGUAGAUGUCCUACACAUUUCAGUCUUUGCUUUUGAGAAAAUUCAGGAAAUUUUUCCAGUUUUGCAGAUUUGAGUGCCUUACUACAACAGAAAUGCUUUAAAAUCCUUUGAAUAUACUUAAUUUAACUCCAGCGCCAAUUUUCACUCAGUGUGUUAAUAAUCAUGUAUCUGGAAAACACUUUAAAUGUUUCUGGAAAUGAAAUUUUUCACAUGUAAGCUAUGUUCUUUAGUGCAGAAAAGUUACUUGUAUUGCACUGUUAGCUCUGAGUAAAUUUCAUCGUCGACUACCAAAAAAGUCUUCUUGCUCCUUACUGAUUUUUUAAAAAAUUUUGUAGAGCAUUUUAUAUUGUUGACUGUAUCUUGUUGAAAUCCAUAAGCAGAUUAAUAACAGUGCUGAGCAUAGUUCUAAUAAUACUAGGGCAUAAUGUCACUGGGAAAUAUUAUACACUUCAUAGCAAAUAGAG